rnacentral:rRNA from 1 species
UUACCGGCUUGACAUAGAUAGAGAUCUCGUACAGGUGCUGCAUGGCUGUCGUCAGCUCGUGUCGUGAAAUGUUAGGUUAAGUCCUGCAACGAGCGCAACCCUAUCUUAGUUGCCAUCAUGGGACUCUAAGAGACUGCCGGUGUCGACCGGAGGAAGGUGGGGAUGACGUCAAGUCCUCAUGGCCCUUACGCCGGGCUACACACGUGCUACAAUGGGGUACAUGGGGCACCGCAAGGGGAGCAAUCCCAAAACCGCCUCAGUUCGGAUUGGAGUCUGCAACUCGACUCCAUGAAGCUGGAAUCGCUAGUAAUCGCGAUCAGAACGCGCGGUGAAUACGUUCCCGGGCCUUGUACACACCGCCCGUCAAGUCACCUGAAUUGGUGACCCAA